AAUGAACGCUGGCGGCGUGGAUUAGGCAUGCAAGUCGAACGCGAAAGUUCCCUUCGGGGAGCGAGUAGAGUGGCGAAAGGGUGAGUAAUGCUUGGAUGACCUGCCCUCGAGACGGGGACAACAGUUCGAAAGGACUGCUAAUACCCGAUAGUCCGGUUUAGAUGCGUCUAGAUCGGUAAAUGGUGCUUCCGCUCGAGGAGGGGUUCAAGUCCUAUCAGCUUGUUGGUGAGGUAACGGCUCACCAAGGCGAUGACGGGUAGCCGGACUGAGAGGUUGGCCGGCCACAUGGGAACUGAGACACUGUCCUGACUCCUACGGAGGGCUGCAGUCGAGAAU
rnacentral:rRNA from 1 species